AUACACAAAAUACAGACAUAAAUGAACACAGUAUCGUCAUGAUUGUGUCACCGUGAUAGAGAAGAAACUCAAAGUUAAUAGAAGAUUUAUCGUGGGCCCAGAGUGGACACAUGCGUGAACGGAACAUUGAUGCAUUCAAUUUGCUUAUGUAUAUUCUACUCAUCUUCUUUUAUUUAACACAAAAACAAUAUCUUAUUCAAUUGAUAUUCAUAUUACUUCAACUACUAAAUUCCCUGCAGCCUACAUGCAUUCAGAUUACAAAUAAUCAAAACCCA
rnacentral:misc_RNA from 1 species